AGCAGCCGCGGUAAUUCCAGCUCCAAUAGCGUAUAUUAAAGUUGUUGCAGUUAAAAAGCUCGUAGUUGAAUUUCGGGAUCAAUCUAUCGGUCGUGCAAUAGUACGUACUGAUUUUAUUGAUUCCUACCUUCUGAUGAACUAUGAUGUCAUUAAUUUGGUGUCAUAGGGAACCAGGACUGUUACUUUGAAAAAAUUAGAGUGUUUAAAGCAGGCUCACGCUUGAAUACAUUAGCAUGGAAUAACGAAAUAGGACGUUUGAUUCUAUUUUGUUGGUUUCUAGGAUCGACGUAAUGAUUAAUAGGGAUAGUUGGGGGCAUUAGUAUUCAAUUGUCAGAGGUGAAAUUCUUGGAUUUAUUGAAGACUAACUACUGCGAAAGCAUUUGCCAAGGAUGUUUUCAUUAAUCAAGAACGAAAGUUAGGGGAUCGAAGACGAUCAGAUACCGUCGUAGUCUUAACCAUAAACUAUGCCGACUAGGGAUCGGAUGAUGUUAAUUUUUUAAUGACUCAUUCGGCGCC
rnacentral:sRNA from 1 species